rnacentral:rRNA from 1 species
GACAGAGGAGCCAAGCGUUGUCCGGAUUUACUGGGCGUAAAGAGCGCGCAGGCGGUCGUUCAAGUCGCGUGUGAAAGCCCCCGGCUCAACUGGGGAGGGUCACGCGAUACUGAUCGACUCGAAGGCAGGAGAGGGUAGUGGAAUUCCCGGUGUAGUGGUGAAAUGCGUAGAUAUCUGGAGGAACACCGGUGGCGAAGGCGGCAUCCUGGACCAACACUGACACUGAGGAGCGAAAGCCAGGGGAGCAAACGGG